UAGAUACCCUGGUAGUCCACGCUGUAAACGAUGAAUACUAGGUGCUGGGAUGCAUAAGCAUUUCGGUGCCGUCGCAAACGCAUUAAGUAUUCCACCUGGGGAGUACGUUCGCAAGAAUGAAACUCAAAGGAAUUGACGGGGACCCGCACAAGCGGUGGAGCAUGUGGUUUAAUUCGACGCAACGCGAAGAACCUUACCCGGUCUUGAGAUCCUCCUGAAUGCAGGGUAAUGCCUGCGGUCCUUCGGGACA
rnacentral:rRNA from 1 species